UGCUACCUGGGCUGUAAUGGCUGUAUGUGGCGGCAGGUCAACCGCCACACCGGCCACACGCACUUCUGUUACUCUCGCGUUUCCCCUCCCCGCUUCGUUUUUCCUCUUUUUCCCUUCCUUCUCUUCUUCGCUCACUCCUCUCUCUUUCUCUUUUUCUCACUCGCGAGGAACCCGUGCGAUCUCAGCGUGCAUCGUGUCCCCGUGACGUAUUGCGCGUCCCAAAAAUUGUCCUGCGAUGAAUUCGCGUCGUGAUUUACACAUGCAAGCACGUCAAAACACGUGCUCGCUGUGUACGCACUCACGUCUCACGUGUACAACGCUACAGUUUUGAAGAUUUGGCACCAAGCCGCCGCUGUGGACGGAGGAAGAAGAACUACAAGCAAGAACUAAUCAUAUAACAGACUUAAUAAGCGUUCACAUACGAUUGGUUGUUGCCAUUAAUUCUUUUUCCCCUCUAUAGUCGCAGCUCGAUGCCAAAUCUUCCUGCGCAUGUAGUAUGUACGUUGAACACAGUUGAGCAGACGCUAGACACGGCGAGCAUGUUCUUGCAUGUACUCGGACGUUCGAUUACUGUGUCACAUUUUUAUAGUAUCUAAUGUUUACGUAAUCACGUGUAAUAAUUCAACAUAAAUUAGUAAUAUCUUAAUGAAAAAAACCAAACAAAAGAUGCAUUUUAUAUUAUUUUACUAAAUGAUGGCUUAGUCACAAUGCCAAAGCAAUGGUUAACAAAUGAUAAAAAGUAUACAUUUUGGCCUAUAUGUAAAUUCAGCACAAUUUGUUAAUUUAAUUAAAUCAUGUGCUGAAAUAAAUACACAAUGGAUGGCAAAAUAUGAAAUAUAAUUCAUAUAUGAAACAGCAGGUGUAAGAAGUAAAUUCAAAGAUGUAAAAGGGAUGUAAACGCACCUCUUAAAAUUUGGUUAUCUCACACAUAAGAUCGAUUAAAAAAAGACAAGAAUAAUUAAAAUUAUCUUUCUUGGAAUUUAACUUACAAUUAGAACUUAAUUUACA